CCUACGGGUGGCAGCAGUGAGGAAUAUUGGUCAAUGGGCGCGAGCCUGAACCAGCCAAGUCGCGUGAGGGAUGACGGUCCUACGGGUUGUAAACCUCUUUUGUCGGGGAGCAAAAGACGCCACGCGUCGCGUUCCGAGAGUACCCGGAGAAAAAGCAUCGGCUAACUCCGUGCCAGCAGCCGCGGUAAUACGGAGGAUGCGAGCGUUAUCCGGAUUUCUUGGGUUUAAAGGGUGCGCAGGCGGUAGUGUAAGUCAGCGGUAAAAGCCCGGGGCUCAACCCCUGCCCGCCGUUGAAACUGGGAGUCUAGAGUGGGAGAGAAGUACGCGGAAUGCGCGGUGUAGCGGUGAAAUGCAUAGAUAUCGCGCAGAACUCCGAUUGCGAAGGCAGCAUGCCGGCUCCACACUGACGCUGAGGCACGAAAGCGUGGGUAUCGAACAGGAUUAGAUACCCGUGUAGUC
rnacentral:rRNA from 1 species